rnacentral:rRNA from 1 species
ACAGCUUUGGUCCUGAGCUAACCGUUGUUUUUUUUCAAGUUUAUACAUGCAAGUUUCAACAUACCAGUGAAAAUGCCCAUAAUACCUAAAAAGAAAGAUGGAGCAGAUAUCAGGCACUACAUUGUUAAGCCCACGACGUCUUGCUAUGCCACACCCCCACGGGUAAUCAGCAGUAAUAAAUAUUGAACCAUAAGUGAAAACUUGAUUCAACUAUGAUACUAUCAAGGGCUGGUUAAUUUCGUGCCAGCCACCGCGGUUAUACGAAAAGCCCAAAACAACGACUAAUGGCGUAAAAUGUGACUAGAGACCUGUCUAUUUAAAAACAUUAAAACCUGCAACCCAGCUGUAAAAUACUAAGAGGGGUAGAGGAAUACCAAUACAACUGUUUUAAUAAAACACUCUUGAACCCACGAAAGCUUAGAAACAAACUAGGAUUAGAUACCCUACUAUGCUAAGCACUGAACAAUGAGUAAAUAUAUACAAAAUACUCCGCCAGAGAACUACAAAUGAAAAAUUUUAAACUCAAAGGACUUGACGGUGUCCUAUACCAACCUAGAGGAGCCUGUCCUAUAAUCGAUAGUCCCCGAUAUACCCAACCUUAGCUAGCAUCUCUCAGCCUAUAUACCGCCGUCGACAGCCUACCCCGUGAGGGGUAAAUAGUAGACACAAUAGCUCAACCACU